CUAAUUCUGUUAGUGUCUCCUCAAUUAGUGUCCAUCUUUCAAGUUCUCACUCACAUUUUGCCUCUUCAUGAAGCCUAUUCGCCAUAGAUUAGGCUGCAAUGGAUUUCUUCCAUUUUGAUCGCCCAGAGUGCUAUGCACUCUGCACUGGGCAUGUGAUUCUGUCCCAUCUGUCAUUUUCUGUUUCGAAUGUGUGCUCAUUUCCUAUGGCAAAAUGCCACCUCCUCAGAAAAGGUGGUUUGGACAUCAGGGAGAGAUAGUUGAGAGUCUCUAUGUUCUAGUGGGAAAAUGUGAGGAUUAUGGAGGAGUGCUCUGUGAAAGAAGUCAUCUGACCGGGAAUGGCUGGAAGGAUGUGAGCUUAUUCCCUGAGAGGUUGGAGGAGUGCUGAGAUCAAAGAAGGAAAGGAAAAGGGCAAAGACAACAGAAAAAAAAAAAAAAAAAAAUCUGGCAGUCUGGAGGGGUUGUGGUGGUGGUGUAGUCGCUCAGUUGUGUCCAACUUUAUGUGACCUCAUGGACUGUAGGCUCCUCUGUCCAUGGAAGUUCUGCAGUAGGGGAUGUCAAAUCCUCUCCCUAGCAGAGGUGGGGGUGGAGAGACAGACGUUGGGACAGUUGAUCUCACCCCUAAAACCAGGGAAUCCUUAGAAGAGGGUUGUUAUCUCAGACCUCAAGAGAAACUUCAGGAGAGCCAGAAAGCAACUUCAUUCCUUUUAAAUCUGAGUCCUCAGUUGCAUUCAUGGUAACACUGGAGUGCUUCAACCAACCUGGCUGAAGGAUCUGAAUUGCGAGUCAGUGCAACAAUUUAUGGUUCAUCGCCUUGAACUUUCACAUUGUAAAAACAGACGAUUCAUCAAAGUUAUGUGCAUUUUUGACCUCAGUGAAUGAAGUGGAGGAAUGCAGUCCAGCAAGAGGCAGAGGAGAAGGCUGAAACCACAGGAAAGGAAGAAAAAGAAACCUUCUUCAGAAUUCCAUGGAUGGAGGGGUCUGGAGGGCUAUGGUCCAUGGGAUUGCAAAGAGUCGGACACGACUGAGCAACUAACACUAAACCUUCUUCAACAUGGGAAGAGCAGGAAACUGGGCCUCUGUGUUAGUGUCCAGAAAAAGCGUGGGGUUGUCUUGGCCUAACAGACAAGUCGAGGCAUUUUGGGACCAGGAUCUGCCAGGGUACUAACCUGCAUUAAUGCAGGUCAUAAACCUAUAAGGGAGGGUCACAGUCACACAUUACAUGGUUGCCGUUCAAUAAAUAUCUUAACAACAACA
rnacentral:lncRNA from 1 species